AUGAUUUUGAACACCAUUUGAUUGACGUUAAACAUGACUUAAAAUGUCUGAGAAUCAAGAGUCACGAGCCUUUCCGCUGUUUUCGUCUUCUCGGCCGCCCAGAGGAGCGAGGAAAAAACACAUGAUCAACACGAGGAACCACCGCGGCCAUUAACGUCUCACGAGGUCUUGCUGACUGUGUUUCGUGCGAUCGGCUCUCGGCUUCAUGCACGUCUGGAUAUCACUGAUGGUUGUCUGGACACUUUAACCUCUAACCUUUCUUCACUGUAUGCGGCCCUCAGUGAUUUAUCUGGAAAAGUUGUCCUAAACGAGUGUAGAUUAACCGAGGCAGAGAACUGGGUCUCAGCCAUGGAAGACUCCACGGGCGCACAUGGCAAUCAACUGAACGCGGUCGACAAGAGGUUAGAGCAGCUUCAGGCUAAAGUUGAUGACUUGGAGAACCACGGACAGCGAAAAAAACCUUAAAAUCGUCGGCCACCCUGAAAGAGUGGAGGGCCCUAUGCCUCUCGUCCAAUUUCUCUGUGAGAUUCUUCCGAAGUGGCUCGACGGUCCGGAUUUCGCUCCCAAAAUAGAGCGCGCUCACAGAUCCCUCGCGCCGGCUCUGCCUGAGAGCAGUCCAUCUCAGAGUGUACCGGUUCGCUUCCUUCACUAUUCGGAUAAAGGGGCAGUUCUCCGAGCUGCACUGCAGAAACGCCAGGUGAUGCACGAAGGGAAGCAGCUCCGAUUCUACCAAGAUCUAUCUGCUGAGGUCCUCAGGAGAUGGCGCGAAUUUAGCGAGCUCUCUUUUCUUUCCUCUUUUCUGUGCCAGUCGGUCUAUCUUUCACUUUAUAGGUGGAUCAGGUGUCAUUCAUCAUCCUCGUUGCGUUCGUCACUUACUGGCCAAUCAGAGGGCGCGUCCGUACCAAGAGAGGGGUGGGACUUCGUGUUCAAAAGCUGCGUGGUUUCACUUGCUAGGAAGCCUUCGGCUCGCUUGUUAUGUUCACACUAUGCUCCUUGAUGAGAGAACGCUGUUCUGUGAAGUCUUUUGUGUCUCAGUUGAGCUCUUUACUGUUAUAUGUAUUGCUGUUGUCAUUGCUAUCUGUUUGGUGCUAGUUGUUUCUGGUUGUUGUUACUGUCUCCCCUGUGUCCGCUGUGUUUGAGCUAGUUUUCACCUGGAAGAACAGUUUAGAACGUGCGCGCACUUACACUGCCACACGCAGGUAGUCUAAGUGUCUAGACACACAAGUUUAGAGGUGGGUACCACCCCCUGUACUUUUGGUCUACUUUAGCUUAUAGUAGCAGUCAGCUCUUUUAUUUCUGCCAGUUAGACAAGAUACACAAAUACAGGCUAGUGUAGUUCUUUUGUUAUUUUCUUUUCUUUGGUGCUGUCUGUGUUCUCCCCCAGGCUGGUCCAGUUCUUCAAUGGCAUAGUUUGUUGUCUUGGUGUUUUGUAUACGUUUGUGUCCAUUGUAUAGUGUUGUGUAUGACUGUGGAUAUCCUUGAAUUAAAUCUGUUUUCUA